CCAGCGCUGCGGGUGGCGCCACGUGGGUAACGAGACGCUGACGAGAGGGCCGGGGCGACUCGUGCCGCUCCGGCUCGGUGCCUCUCGUUCCGCGCAGCGCGGCAGAGGUCCCAACCCCACCAAGGACCGAGCGCGGCUGCUGCGCCUGGCCGGCCAUUACAAACCGCUGCCCCGCAUCGAUCGCUAUUACCCCGCCUUUUCCCCCCCAGAGUGCGAGCACGUAUGUGCGUGCAUGCGCGCGUCCGCAUGCAAGCGCUGGCGCACGGGCGCACGCGCGCGGAGUCGUGCGCCAGCGUGUGGAGUCGCGCGGCCAUGGGGAUGCACCAAUUCUGCGGUGCUGUCAUAAAAAAAAAUCCCGAGUGCAAGAGGAGGACAAGGAAGCGGCCAUUCUUCAGCUGGGCCGGGGACAUAAAUUUGCCUGGUGCUGACAGCUGCUGACCACUCUGCUGACGGGCGGGCAGAUGGGCCGUAAACACGGUGGCAGAGCCAUCCAUCAACGAGCCAGAAGUGACCACACACGCCUCGUCCAAAACAAUCCCUCAAGGCCCUGUUCGACCACACAACCAACCUGCUCACUGCUGCUGCGUAGGUCACGCUACAAGGUUGGAUCUUGAGAGAUGGUUGACCAUGCUGGACCCCCACACCGCUAAAUUUACGGAGCCCAAGACGGAUGCAGACGUCCCACACUCUCCAGGCCUCCACACGGGCGCUGCAAAUCGACUCACUGCGGCGCACCCAUUAAUCCUGCGGGGUGCUACCAAUGUGCGCUCCGUGCCGUGGAGUAAGCGGCGGAUGAGGGGGCCGACAGCACCGCACCGCUGAGCCGUGGGGCAUGGCGCGUGCACAGGUGACGUCCACAUUCAGGCGAUGGGGAUUCGUGAUGGACUGGACUCGCAAGAGUGCGCAACAACACCAACGACCGCUUUGGGCAUUCACUCGCGGUGCGGUACUGAGUGGUGUGGCAGUGGUUAGUGCGCUGCUCUGUGAACCUGGCGACGUGAGUUCGAUGUAUGGCCAUGGCGAACCUCCGUGGUGAGAUCACAACCGGUCUGGUGUGGCCACCUUCUGCUUGGUGGAGCAGUGGGCAAUCAAUCCCCAUGGCUGCUUUCAUCCAGCAGUGGAGUGACAGAGGGCUAAAAAAAUGUAUGUUGCAUUGGUGCACACGAUUGGCCGUACUUAUGAUUUGAAACCCUGUGAUGUUCUUUGUUUCUUGCCAUGUCGUGAUAUCACAGACUAAUUCUCACAGUAUACCCGGGGGGCUAGAGCCAACCAUUUCCUCUCGGGGGUUUUUGAAGUCAUCGAGUGAUAAAAAAAAAAUGUCAUGUCCGAAAUUUCAACAGUGGCAAAAAAGGUCAUAUCCUAAAAUUCAAUAAUGAGCGUGCAGCUUUGUUCUCGGCCUUCUUGUGAUCGCUAAGUCCAAUACAGUGACAACAUUUGAUUUUGACCUAAUCUUCGGGGUAAUAAUACAUGGUGGCCAUUAACAUAUUUUUUCUUCAUAUAAGCAACAUUCUACCCAGAGUCCUAUUUGCCUCGAAUUACUAAAUCUUGCACCAGGGACUUUUGUGGCCACUGGGUAGAACAAACACACAAACCUGGAGUGGCCACAGUCGCAAAGUGGGAUUCAAACACCCACAAUAGAAAUAGACAAUAAUGCGUGCACAAUAAUGCGUACGCGCACAGGAGCUCCGUACACACAGGCACUAAAAGACAAAGAUCCCCACCUAUGCGUAUUGACUGCAGGGGCAAGUACUGCUGCUGUGCACGGCACAUUAGAGAUGGUACGAUCGGCACUAUGCUGAGCUGCCUCCGUCUACCCGAGUCAAGGUGUGUUGACACACCGCAUCAGAUGGACGUUUUAGGCAGAGUUGACCUUGGCAGGGAGGCUCAGGGCUCGGUUUGGUGCGUACGCCCAGGAAUUGAACAUCGGCUGCCGGGAUCACAUUGUAGCGAGGCCACCACCACACACAUUGCUCGCCCACCAUCUGGGGGACUCUUAUAUACGCGCGCAGGCACGCGCUCACAGAGAGAGACAGAGAACAAACAAAAAAACCCCACACACGCUUCAAACGAACGGUGGCAGAUGUAGCUUUGUUACCUUCAGACUCGGCCAGCGCACAAAAGAAACACAGUGCCGCCUGCUCGGGAGAGAGAAAGGGGCGCUCGACCUCCGCCGAGGGAGUCUACGAGCCGCAAUUACGGCCGAAGCGUCGGGUCGUGCCGCCCGAACUCUCUUGUGGACGCGAGCAACGUUGGCGGGACCCAUCGUCUCGUCACACCCCGGCCUGCAGCCAGCCGCCACCCCCACCCCACCCAGUCGAACCGAGAGCAUUUGCAGGUGCUUGCUGCAAGCCAGCGAGCCGCGGAGAUGAGAAUGCGGGCGCACGGGACAAUUAGAGCACAAUUAGAGGACAAUUUGAAGGAUUGUCGUGGGCGACUCAGCACCGCCCUGCCACCGUCUCUGUGCCACCGCCCCCCGCCCAGAGCGUCACCGCCGUAUGGGGUUAAAUUCGUGAUUUGUCUCCAUGCUUAUUUUCGUUUUCGUGCGGCAUUGGAGUCAAAUCUGUGUCGGCACGUUUACGUGACGUUUUACGUUCGCGUUGUUUCGUGGUGGAACACGAACGUUGCGCUGCAGGCGUGGGUAGUGGCAGAACAAAGCAUGUCUCUGUUUUCCCACAAUCCCCUACAGACACACACAUAUUCCGUCAUGGAAUGGCUUUCAAAGACACAGGAGGCCUCCCGUCCUGUACAUUUUACAAACCUGAUAUAUUACAAACAUCGAGACUGCACACUGUUAUUCAUGGAGCAAACGAGUGCUUCGCUCAGAUGAGAUACUCUAAAGACACAGAUUGCCAGGCUUGACCGUGUGAAGCAGGGGAAACAGUAUUUGUACGUGCACUCAUUGACGACAGUGGCUCAUUCCGUGACGCUCUCUGCGCAAGAGAACCUUGGUUUUCAACCUUCCGUGGGAGCCGGAGAUUUCCAUCCAAGAUCUCAGUAGAAUUUGCUCAGCACUCGGUCACAGCCACCCACGUAGUCUUGUGAGGAGGCACCCAGCCCACUUCGUCGGUCACUGCCAUUCUCGAGGAUUGUGUCCGCGUGCAGUUUGCUGUUAUUCUUCAUGUUGCUAUUAUCACGAUUGAUUACGCAGGAAAGCCUCAGAGUCUCAAGACUCCUUUUCCAGGAUAGUCUUGCCAGGUUUUCGCAGUGAGAGGGGGGGGG